rnacentral:lncRNA from 10 species
AUAGCUUUUUUUUCUUUUCUUUUUCUUCUCUUUUUCUUUUUUCUUUUCUGUGCAGAAGCUCUUUAGUUUAAUUAGAUCCCAUUUGUUUUUUUUUUGUUUUGUUCGGUUUUGUUUUUUCUUACUUGCUUCAGCUGCUCCCUUUUUUGCCUCUCUUGUCUCUCCUUCAAUUUUACUCUAUAGUGGCUCUUUGUAAUAUUGCCUGUCCCUUUGGAAUACUGUUUGAACAGC